rnacentral:rRNA from 1 species
AAGGKGAAAUCCCSGGGGUCYACCCCGGGACUGCCCCCAAAAYUGCCMGGCYUKRGGGUAUGGAGARGGAAAKUGGAAUUCCAAGUGUAGCGGKGAAAUGYGUAGAUWUCGGAGGAACACCCCGUGMGRAAGGCGGCUUCCKRGUCAUAUCCYKWCGUUGAYGUGSRAAAGCUAGGGGAGCGAACGGGAUUAGAUACCCCGGUAGUCCUAGCCGUAAAACGAUGGAUAMUWAGGUGUUAGAGGUAUCGACCCCUCUAGUGCCGCAGCUAACGCAUUAAGUAUCCCGCCUGGGGAGUAYGACCGCAAGGUUGAAACUCAAARGGAAUUGACGGGGGCCCGCACAAGCGGUGGAGCAUGUGGUUUAAUACGUCAUUAACCGUAGAACCUUACCCAGGCUUGACAUCUGGGGAAUGCCGGUGAAAGCUGGUAGUGCUUCGUAAGAAGAACCCCAAGACAGGUGUUGCAUGGCUGUCGUCAGCUCKUGUCGUGAGAUGUUGGGUUAAGUCCCGCAACGAGCGCAACCCUCAUCCGAUKUUGCCAGCGUAAAGUCGGGAACUCUUCGGAAACUGCCCGUGUAAGCGGGAGGAAGGUGGGGAUGACGUCAAGUCAGCAUGGCCCUUACGCCUGGGGCUACACACAUGCUACAAUGGAYGUCAACAAAGGGCAGCGAAACCGSGAGGUGGAGCUAAUCUCAAAAAUACGUCYUCAGUUCGGAUUGCAGUCUGCAACUCGACUGCAYGAAGUCGGAAUSGCUAGUAMCCGCAGGUCAGYUAAASUSCGGUGAAUACGUUCCCGGGCCUUGUACACACCGCCCGUCACGCCACCUGAAUUGUCUGCACCCGAAGUCGAUGGCCUAACCCGCAAGGGAAGGAGUCGCAGAAGSWGKGGGGAGUAAGGGGGACGAAGUCGUAACAAGGUAACCGU